CUAGCACUUUCACAAGCCCUCCCCCAGGCAGUGGGGCCAGGAUUUGGUAGCUGGUGCUGAAAGAAAACCCUUGAUUGAAUCUUUGCCCUAGGACUGUGCCAGUGGCUGCUGUCACUCAAUGACAUACUG
ensembl:snoRNA small nucleolar RNA SNORA30/SNORA37 family